rnacentral:rRNA from 1 species
GUCAAAGCGUUCAUUAAAGUCGAGUUGGCUUAGGGAUACGUUCGUUGGGUAGGGGAGCGUUCUGUAAGCCUGUGAAGGUGUGUCGUGAGGCAUGCUGGAGGUAUCAGAAGUGCGAAUGCUGACAUAAGUAACGAUAAAGCGGGUGAAAAGCCCGCUCGCCGGAAGACCAAGGGUUCCUGUCCAACGUUAAUCGGGGCAGGGUGAGUCGACCCCUAAGGCGAGGCCGAAAGGCGUAGUCGAUGGGAAACGGGUUAAUAUUCCCGUACUUGGUGUUACUGCGAAGGGGGGACGGAGAAGGCUAUGUUGGCCGGGCGACGGUUGUCCCGGUUUAAGCGUGUAGGUGUGUGUUCCAGGUAAAUCCGGUUCACUUUAACACUGAGGCGUGACGACGAGGCACUACGGUGCUGAAGCAACAAAUGCCCUGCUUCCAGGAAAAGCCUCUAAGCAUCAGGUAACACGAAAUCGUACCCCAAACCGACACAGGUGGUCAGGUAGAGAAUACCAAGGCGCUUGAGAGAACUCGGGUGAAGGAACUAGGCAAAAUGGUGCCGUAACUUCGGGAGAAGGCACGCUGACACGUAGGUGAAGUGAUUUACUCAUGGAGCUGAAGUCAGUCGAAGAUACCAGCUGGCUGCAACUGUUUAUUAAAAACACAGCACUGUGCAAACACGAAAGUGGACGUAUACGGUGUGACGCCUGCCCGGUGCCGGAAGGUUAAUUGAUGGGGUCAGCGCAAGCGAAGCUCCUGAUCGAAGCCCCGGUAAACGGCGGCCGUAACUAUAACGGUCCUAAGGUAGCGAAAUUCCUUGUCGGGUAAGUUCCGACCUGCACGAAUGGCGUAAUGAUGGCCAGGCUGUCUCCACCCGAGACUCAGUGAAAUUGAACUCGCUGUGAAGAUGCAGUGUACCCGCGGCAAGACGGAAAGACCCCGUGAACCUUUACUAUAGCUUGACACUGAACAUUGAGCCUUGAUGUGUAGGAUAGGUGGGAGGCUUUGAAGUGUGGACGCCAGUCUGCAUGGAGCCGACCUUGAAAUACCACCCUUUAAUGUUUGAUGUUCUAACGUGGACCCGUAAUCCGGGUUGCGGACAGUGUCUGGUGGGUAGUUUGACUGGGGCGGUCUCCUCCUAAAGAGUAACGGAGGAGCACGAAGGUUGGCUAAUCCUGGUCGGACAUCAGGAGGUUAGUGCAAUGGCAUAAGCCAGCUUGACUGCGAGCGUGACGGCGCGAGCAGGUGCGAAAGCAGGUCAUAGUGAUCCGGUGGUUCUGAAUGGAAGGGCCAUCGCUCAACGGAUAAAAGGUACUCCGGGGAUAACAGGCUGAUACCGCCCAAGAGUUCAUAUCGACGGCGGUGUUUGGCACCUCGAUGUCGGCUCAUCACAUCCUGGGGCUGAAGUAGGUCCCAAGGGUAUGGCUGUUCGCCAUUUAAAGUGGUACGCGAGCUGGGUUUAGAACGUCGUGAGACAGUUCGGUCCCUAUCUGCCGUGGGCGCUGGAGAACUGAGGGGGGCUGCUCCUAGUACGAGAGGACCGGAGUGGACGCAUCACUGGUGUUCGGGUUGUCAUGCCAAUGGCACUGCCCGGUAGCUAAAUGCGGAAGAGAUAAGUGCUGAAAGCAUCUAAGCACGAAACUUGCCCCGA